AUUGGCUUACUCGUUGUCCAAUCAUCUUCGGUCGUUCCGGUUGUUCGGUGGGUGGGUCCCAGCUCUUCCGAAGUAAGUUGGCGUCUCCUUAGCUCCAGCUCCUGAGAUAAAUUCUGCGGAAAAUAGUGAUCUUAUUCGAUGGAAAAUCCCAAUGGCGAGGGUAGUGGGCAAUCUGAAGAACUGAAGCCAUCAUGCCCUGAGAGGAAAGAACAUAUGAACUCUGAUGAUGGAAAGAUGGUACAUGAAUCUCUCAGUCCAUUUCAUUCAGAUGAAAAUUCAGAUGUUCUUGUGACAAAAAGCAUCUCAGAAGGUAAUGUGAUUGUACAGCCAGAACCAAAGAAGGAGGAAGACAAAGAUGAUUUCCAAGAGCCCGAAGUUAGACACAAAAGUAGAAUGAAAACUAAACAUUCCAAAAGACAUUUUGAGGAAAUACUUCCUGAGAUCGUGUGUUGUACUGCUUGUGGACAACAAGUGAACCAUUAUGAGGAUUCAGUGUAUAGACAUCCUGCACUGAAUGUUCUUAUUUGUAAGAGAUGCUACAUAUAUACGAGUGAUGACAUAAGCCAUGAUGCUAUUAGACCUCAUAUGCACUGCAGCCUAUCUUAAGUUGUACCUUUGUAAUAAAAUUGGGUCCUGUAUGAAGAAAGCCUUGCCCCAAGCUUGAAGUUUUUGUUCUGUUGGUUCAGAGCUGUUCCUGAGCAUCAAUGGUGUGCAGAAGGCGAAGAUUUAAUUAUUUGUGAUUUCUGCCCUAAUGCUUUUUGUAAGAAAUGCAUUCGGCGCAAUCUAGGGGAAAAGGAGAUGGCAAAAGUGAUGGAUAAAAACACUAAGUGGAGUUGUUACAUUUGUCAGCCAGAGCCUUUAUUGGAUUUGGUUGCCAUAUGUGACUGUGUAUUUGACAGUUUAUCACACUUAGAUCAGCAGUCUAAAAAGAAAAAGUUAGUAAGUGAAAAGACUGAUAACACAUGUGACCCUUCAGAGAAAUUAAGCCAUGGAAGUUGUGCUGAAGAGACACAUCAGGUGUAUAACCCUUCCUCUGAUGCUAUAGCACCCAAUUUUCCCACAUUACAGAUUCCAAAAGCCUUGGUUGAGAACGUGAGAGAAACAAACGCUACUUUUCUGAAACAUUUGCGACAAACAUUCCAUUGUUCAGAACUUAGCCCAAGUGAGAGGGAAUGUCAAUAUGAAAUUAUGAAAUAUAUGGUCAUGGAGAUACGUAAUGCUCAGGAGGCCUUGGAAGAUUGCCUGAGUAAUGAAGUAAUUAAAUUGGUUAGAGAGAUGGAGGAAAAUAAUAAAGAAAGAGAAAAUGAGAAUGUUUAAAAACAUGCUAAAAGUCUUCUGAUUUCUUUGUUAAGAUUAAGUAAGAAAGAUUUCCUUGUUCACACCUACAAUAUGAGGGCACCCGCUCUGUCCGACCAGAUUUGUUAUGUUUGGGUACUUAAACCUCUGUUUGCUUUCUGUACGCCGUCUCUUGUUAUUGCCAGUCUGCCCUGAUGGGGCGAGAUGCCCAGUUCUCCUGAGAUGUGAUCAAAUAAAGGCUUCAGUUUUUUCUACUUUGAAA